rnacentral:rRNA from 1 species
GGGCCCGCACAAGCGGCGGAGCAUGCGGAUUAAUUCGAUGCAACGCGAAGAACCUUACCAAGGCUUGACAUAUAGAGGAAAAGUGCAGAAAUGCACUCCCCGCAAGGUCUCUAUACAGGUGGUGCAUGGUUGUCGUCAGCUCGUGUCGUGAGAUGUUGGGUUAAGUCCCGCAACGAGCGCAACCCUCGUCCUAUGUUGCCAGCACGUAAUGGUGGGAACUCAUGGGAUACUGCCGGUGAUAAACCGGAGGAAGGUGGGGACGACGUCAAGUCAUCAUGCCCCUUAUGUCCAGGGCUGCACGCAUGCUACAAUGGCCGGUACAGAGGGCUGCAAUACCGCAAGGUGGAGCGAAUCCCAAAAAGCCGGUCUCAGUUCGGAUUGAGGUCUGCAACUCGACCUCAUG